rnacentral:rRNA from 1 species
GAUGAACGCUGGCGGCGUGCCUAAUACAUGCAAGUCGAGCGAACAGACGAGGAGCUUGCUUCUCUGACGUUAGCGGCGGACGGGUGAGUAACACGUGGAUAACCUACCUAUAAGACUGGGAUAACUUCGGGAAACCGGAGCUAAUACCGGAUAAUAUAUUGAACCGCAUGGUUCAAUAGUGAAAGACGGUUUUGCUGUCACUUAUAGAUGGAUCCGCGCCGCAUUAGCUAGUUGGUAAGGUAACGGCUUACCAAGGCAACGAUGCGUAGCCGACCUGAGAGGGUGGUCGGCCACACUGGAACUGAGACACGGUCCAGACUCCUACGGGAGGCAGCAGUAGGGAAUCUUCCGGAAUGGGCGAAAACCUGACGGGGCAACGCCGCGGGGGUGAUGAAGGUCUUCGGAUCGUAAAACUCUGUUAUUAGGGAAGAACAAAUGUGUAAGUAACUAUGCACGUCUUGACGGUACCUAAUCAGAAAGCCACGGCUAACUACGUG